rnacentral:rRNA from 1 species
UACGGGGGGGCAAGCGUUGUUCGGAAUUACUGGGCGUAAAGGGUUCGUAGGUGGCCAACUAAGUCAGACGUGAAAUCCCUCAGCUUAACUGGGGAACUGCGUCUGAUACUGGUUGGCUUGAGUGCAGGAGAGGAACGCGGAAUUCCAGGUGUAGCGGUGAAAUGCGUAGAUAUCUGGAGGAACACCGGUGGCGAAGGCGGCGUUCUGGACUGCAACUGACACUGAGGAACGAAAGCCAGGGGAGCAAACGGG